rfam:Caenorhabditis japonica strain DF5081 Contig2243.1, whole genome shotgun sequence.
UAUUAUAGGCCUAUCGCGCAAAACCUGUGCCGUCCGAUCUGGCAAGUUAAGCAACGUUGAGUCCAGUUAGUACUUGGAUCGGAGACGGCCUGGGAAUCCUGGAUGUUGUAAGCU